rnacentral:rRNA from 1 species
CCUACGGGAGGCAGCAGUGGGGGAUAUUGCACAAUGGAGGAAACUCUGAUCCAGCGACGCCGCGUGAGGGAAGAAGGUCUUCGGAUUGUAAACCUCUGUCAGUGGGGACGAUAAUGACGGUACCCAAAGAGGAAGCCACGGCUAACUACGUGCCAGCAGCCGCGGUAAUACGUAGGUGGCAAGCGUUGUCCGGAAUUACUGGGUGUAAAGGGAGCGUAGGCGGGAGGUGAAGUCAGAAUGGAAAAUUAUGGGCUUAACUCAUAACCUGCUUUUGAAACUUAUAGUCUUGAGUGAAGUAGAGGCAAGCGGAAUUCCUAGUGUAGCGGUGAAAUGCGUAGAUAUUAGGAGGAACACCAGUGGCGAAGGCGGCCUGCUGGGCUUUUACUGACGCUGAGGCUCGAAAGCGUGGGGAGCAAACAGGAUUAGAUACCCGAGUAGUC